UACGUAGGGGGCUAGCGUUGUCCGGAUUUAUUGGGCGUAAAGAGCGUGUAGGCGGCCAGGUAGGUCUGCUGUGAAAACUCGAGGCUCAACCUCGAGACGUCGGCGGAAACCAUCUGGCUAGAGUCCGGAAGAGGAGAGUGGAAUUCCUGGUGUAGCGGUGAAAUGCGCAGAUAUCAGGAAGAACACCAAUGGCGAAGGCAGCUCUCUGGGGACGGUACUGACGCUGAGACGCGAAAGCGUGGGGAGCGAACAGG
rnacentral:rRNA from 1 species